CCCAGCGCGAGUUAAGCGCGCAUGUAAAAGUCAUCCGGAAUUGGCAGAGGACAUCGCUCUCCAAUAAAUUUUUAUCUAAAUUCCUCGUUCUCGAAUAUUAUAAUCCGGUUCAUUGUAUUAUGUGCUUCAUCAUUCAUUAUUAAUUCAUUAUUUUAUUGUUUUUUUCCUCGCGUAACUCAUCGCUUGACAACGGAUUUCUCAGCUUGAUCAACGUGAACGCUGAAAAGUCGCCGUCGGAAUCGCUGAUGCAUAAAUAGUUUUUGGACAAGUCGCUGAUCUCUCGGUAUGUCAUUGUCGUCGUAAUACAAUCCGAUAUCCGAACAGAAAUUCUAUCCGAGACGCUUACGUCAGACGAACGAUGUUUAAUUAUCCGGACAAGAAAGGCGCCGAAGCGACAGUUGCAGAUACGCCUCCGAUUUAAAACAUCAGAGAAAAAAAAACAUCAACAUACAGAUUUGAGAUUUCAUCUUCUCGACUUGUUUAUCGUAACAAUCGCCAACAAUGUGCCAAACGAAUUAUUAUAAUCGCUUGAUCGACAAUUUCGUAAGCGUUCAUUAAAGCGGAGAAACAAAC